UACGGAGGGUGCAAGCGUUAUCCGGAUUCACUGGGUUUAAAGGGUGUGUAGGCGGCCUGCUAAGUCGAACGUGAAAUCCCUGGGCUCAACCCAGGAACUGCGUCCGAUACUGGUUGGCUUGAAUCCGGGAGAGGGACGUGGAAUUCCAGGUGUAGCGGUGAAAUGCGUAGAUAUCUGGAGGAACACCGGUGGCGAAGGCGACGUCCUGGACCGGCAUUGACGCUGAGGCGCGAAAGCCAGGGGAGCAAACGGG
rnacentral:rRNA from 1 species